UACGGAGGGUGCAAGCGUUAAUCGGAAUUACUGGGCGUAAAGCGCACGUAGGUGGCUUUUUAAGCGAGAUGUGAAAUCCCCGGGCUUAACCUGGGAACUGCAUUUCGAACUGGAAAGCUAGAGUAUGGUAGAGGAUAGUGGAAUUUCAGGUGUAGCGGUGAAAUGCGUAGAGAUCUGAAGGAACAUCAGUGGCGAAGGCGACUGUCUGGACCAAUACUGACACUGAGGUGCGAAAGCGUGGGUAGCAAACAGG
rnacentral:rRNA from 1 species